AUGUCCCACAGAGACAAGGCCACACAGCAGCUUCCAUGUGUCAGCAUUCCCCCUGAGUCCUUCCAACAGGCAGCCCAAAUUCAGCUCCUCACACACACAGUUACGCACAGAGCAAGAACUCAUCAGCACAUGUGGAUCCUGGAACUGAAGGGGACAUCUGGGCUUGAAGAAAUCCCUUCAGGCUGUACAUGUGCAAAUGCAAUGCCAUGCUACCUCCAGGCCUCGCAGAGCCCACACUGUGCGCUGGGUUUAUACAUAUAUCCUGAGUUUAUUCACGUUCUGGAAAGCUGCCCCAGGAAUGUCUACAAUCUGGCAUGUAGCAUAUUACAGCUGCAUUGCUGAAAGAGCCCUCCAGCCGGCAAAUCCCAGCCCAUUCCUGCACAAAGGCUCCUCUCUGUAGCUGCAGGCUCAGCUGGGGCAUGGCCUCUUGUCUGCAGAUGUUUGCUCACCCUGUGUCUCCAUCCAGCAAGGGCAGGAUCUGCAGGCUGUGUGCAACCCACCUGCAUCCCCUGCAGCAUCCUUUGGGGUGAAGGAAACACCCAGCGGAUGGACAACUCUUCACACACUCCAUGGGGAUCCUUAGACUCACUUGGGAAAUAGCUGACCUGGAGACCUGGUACCCAGUACACAAAGCAGAACAAAACCAAACCACAUUUUCUUGGUGACUCUGCAAGGAGGAACUGCUGCAGUGACCUGCCUCAGCUGUAGUGUCUGUAAGAAGUACAGAGGAAAACAACAGAACAUGGCCUGAGAAGAAACAGAGGAAAACUGAGAGAUGUGGCCUCCCUAAUUCGCACAUCUACCCAGAUGUCCAGACAUAAACUAAGUCCAGAGGUCUCCAAUGUUGUCUUUCUUUUUAAGCUGAACAGCUCUUCUCAUUAGGGACCAAGGUAAUUAAUUGCCUUAGCAAGGAAUGGCAUGCACUGCACCACUGCACCACAUUGCUUGCAGAAGUUGCUGAUGCCCAGAAGCAAAGAUAAUACUACACUCCCUCUAUUCUCCACCAUGAGAAUUCACAUCAGUAACAACCCAUUAGAUCUCAACACUGUUUCCAAGAAAUGCGGCUAAAACAGCAUUUCUUUGGAGGUAACAAAAAUAAAUGUGACUCAAAAGAAAGCA
rnacentral:lncRNA from 1 species